rnacentral:rRNA from 1 species
AGCGCAACCCCUUUUGUCAGUUGCCAACAGGUAAUGCUGGGAACUCUGACGAUACUGCCGGUGAUAAGCCGGAGGAAGGCGGGGAUGACGUCAAGUCCUCAUGGCCCUUACGGCCUGGGCUACACACGUACUACAAUGGUGGUGACAAUGAGCAGCUAGGUAGCGAUACCGUGCAAAUCUCUAAAAGCCACCUCAGUUCAGAUUGUUCUCUGCAACUCGAGAACAUGAAGUUGGAAUCGCUAGUAAUCGUGGAUCAGCAUGCCACGGUGAAUACGUUCCCGGGUCUUGUACACACCGCCCGUUAA